UCUUAUGGAUGCACAAAAGAAAGUGAUUUCUUGAGAUGGAAUCUACUCCUGGUGAAGAUGCUGUGAA
rnacentral:pre_miRNA from 1 species